AUUCCCUCUGGCUCUCCAAUUUCUCUCUAGUUUUACAACACGUUAUCAGCACGAUUUCUCUAUCUCUAAAUUCAGAGCCUCAACGCUCUCUCUCUCUCUUCCGAGUUUUUCUCAUCUAUGGAGAUGGGAUAUACAAGCUGCCAGUUUAUGCUUCCCUAUGAAAGUGGGAUACUGGGCUCUCUUGCUCUAUCCUCAAAAUGAAGAGACGCUCCUCCUCCUCCUUCACCUUCAUGAUCUUCUUCUUCUCUCUUUAGUCCUUCUUCUCUUCCUCUUCCUGGAGAUGAUGAUGGUGAUGCUUCAGGACAAAUACGCCAACUUGCUCUGCUUCAUAAAGACUCAACCAGUCAAAAUUGAAGCCAACCCAUUCAAGGAAACCUGCAACAGAGUGGUCUAUGGGCGGUAAAUGAUUUUUCUGAAUAUAUUAUUAUUUGGUGGUUUAAUUUAUGUUGGUUUAUUCUAUAAAGUUAAUUUAAUGAGGUGGUAAUAUGUUUGUCGAAAAGAAAAAAAAAAGGGGAGAUUAGCAUCGCUUUUGAUGAGCAAUAAUGGAAGCUUAAAAAAAGGGGAGAUUAGCAUCGCUUUUGAUGAGCAAUAAUGGAAGCUUAAAAAAAGGGGAGAUUAGCAUCGCUUUUGAUGAGCAAUAAUGGAAGCUUUGCUGUCUUUUGGAUUAGUCACAACGCACAGAAAAUUCCCGUGUUUGACGUUUGUUGAAUGAAAUCACACAAGCAUGGAAAAGGACAUAUAGCAUCACUGACCAUUCUACUAUUCACUUUCCCUAUUUUUUUUAUUAUAUACUCAUAUAAGAACAUAUAGUAUAAUAAUAUUUUUAGUGGUGAUUUUAUCUCCCCAUUUAUUUUAUUUAUUGUACGGUGUAGGUUUAUUACCUAUACAACAAUAUUUACUUUAAAGAUGGUGUAGGUUUAUUACCCAUACAACAAUAUUUACUUUAAAGGGUGGUGCGGGUUUAUCGUCCACGCCUUUACUUUUAUUUAAAUGUAUGGAGCAGAAUUAGUGCCCAUAUAAGCAUAUUUACUUUAUCGUAAAUUUACUUUAAAGGGUGGUGCGGGUUUAUCGUCCACGCCUUUACUGUUAUUUAAAUGUAUGAAGCAGAAUUAGUGCCCAUACAAGCACGUUUACUUUACCGCACAUUUAAAGUAUGGUGCGGGAUUAACGUCCAUACAGCAAUUUAAUUUAUGAAUUUACUUUACCGCACAUUUAAAGUAUGGUGCGGGAUUAACGCCCAUACAAGUAAUUUAUUUACCAGUAAAUUUAUUUUAUGGAUUAAUUGUGCUGUAUGAUGAGUUUUUACAGUAUACAGAUCAGGACCAGAAGUUCCUUGAUCCUCAUCAUACAUUUACAUCAGGACUUGAAGAUCCUUGAUGAUGAUAUUGAUAUGAGAGCUGGCAGUCUCUCCGGUCCUAUACAUGUAAACAAGAGAUCGGACUUGAAGAUCCUUGAUCCUUGACAUGUAAAUAAGGACCUAGAGUUUCUUGAUGAUGUAACAGUACCGUAUUGGUUAAAAGUGCCGUACACAUGAAUAUUAACUGUACUGGCAAAUGUACUGCACAUAUGAAUAGAUAUGUAUUCAUGA
rnacentral:lncRNA from 1 species